UACGGAGGGGGCUAGCGUUGUUCGGAUUUACUGGGCGUAAAGGGCGCGUAGGCGGCAAUUCAAGUCAGCUGUGAAAUCUCCGAGCUUAACUCGGAACGGUCAGCUGAUACUGCUUUGCUAGAGUGCAGAAGGGGCAAUCGGAAUUCUUGGUGUAGCGGUGAAAUGCGCAGAUAUUAGGAGGAACACCGGUGGCGAAGGCGCCGCUCUGGGCCGAAACUGACGCUGAGGAGCGAAAGCGUGGGGAGCGAACAGG
rnacentral:rRNA from 1 species